rnacentral:tRNA from 2 species
GGGGCCUUAGCUCAGCUGGGAGAGCGCUUGCAUGGCAUGCAAGAGGUCAAGGGUUCGAGUCCCUUAGGCUCCA